GUCGAACGCUGGCGGCGUGCUUAACACAUGCAAGUCGAACGGAAAGGCCCUGCUUUUGUGGGGUGCUCGAGUGGCGAACGGGUGAGUAACACGUGAGUAACCUGCCCUUGACUUUGGGAUAACUUCAGGAAACUGGUGCUAAUACCGGAUAGGAGCUCCUGCUGCAUGGUGGGGGUUGGAAAGUUUCGGCGGUUUGGGAUGGACUCGCGGCUUAUCAGCUUGUUGGUGGGGUAGUGGCUUACCAAGGCUUUGAUGGGUAGCCGGCCUGAGAGGGUGACCGGCCACAUUGGGACUGAGAUACGGCCCAGACUCCAACGUGAGGCAGCAGUGGGGAAUAUUGCACAGUGGGCGGAAGCCUGAUGCAGCAACGCCGCGUGCGGGAUGACGGCCUUCUGGUUGGAAACCGCUUUCGCCUGUGACGAAGCGUGAGUGACGGUAAUGGGUAAAGAAGCACCGGCUAACUACGUG
rnacentral:rRNA from 1 species